rnacentral:rRNA from 1 species
UGGGGAAUUUUGGACAAUGGGCGAAAGCCUGAUCCAGCAAUGCCGCGUGUGUGAAGAAGGCCUUCGGGUUGUAAAGCACUUUUGUCCGGAAAGAAAUCCUUGGCUCUAAUACAGUCGGGGGAUGACGGUACCGGAAGAAUAAGCACCGGCUAACUACGUGCCAGCAGCCGCGGUAAUACGUAGGGUGCAAGCGUUAAUCGGAAUUACUGGGCGUAAAGCGUGCGCAGGCGGUUUGCUAAGACCGAUGUGAAAUCCCCGGGCUCAACCUGGGAACUGCAUUGGUGACUGGCAGGCUAGAGUAUGGCAGAGGGGGGUAGAAUUCCACGUGUAGCAGUGAAAUGCGUAGAGAUGCGGAGGAAUACCGAUGGCGAAGGCAGCCCCCUGGGCCAAUACUGACGCUCAUGCACGAAAGCGUGGGGAGCAAACAGGAUUAGAUACCCUGGUAGUCCACGCCCUAAA